ACCAGGUACGUAUACUUAGGAUGAAGUAUCCAUCACUUGACAUAGAGGUUGAUGGUGGUUUAGGGCCUUCAACCAUAGACAUGGCCGCAUCAGCUGGGGCAAAUUGCAUUGUUGCUGGAAGUUCCGUGUUUGGAGCCCCUGAGCCAGCUCAAGUAAUAUCCUUACUGAGGAAUUCCGUGGAGAAAGCCCAGCAAACCUUCAUACAGUAAAAAAUGUCGUUUUAAGUUGUACACUGUACGCUUCCCAUAAUCAAUAUGCUUAAUGUUAACAUUUUCAUAAGUCGAAUAAAAGAAUGUGACUUGAAAAUGUUUCUUUAUAUUUCUGUAUCAAGUGUGCAUUUCAUAAAUAUA